ensembl:antisense Gm16333 predicted gene 16333
AGAACCUCACCUGUUAUCCGUUAGCCCUCUGAUCCUCCUCAAGGUCGCCACGCCCUAUAGCGAGUGCUGAGAACAGCUCAAUGCCAUCUCCUGUGUCACAGCCACACUGAAGGGGGACAGAUCGAGUCAGACGAGACUUGAGACAAACCGCACGUGUCUCAUGGCUUCAAUUCUUACUCAGAGCUCUGAGGACCGGAGCUUCAGCGGAGAAGCUCUCGACUCACCCUGAGUGAGUCACACCUCAUUCCCAGCAGCCUCAGCCUAGGACAAACGGUUCAGUGACCAUCUACUGCUAUAAAAAUAAAGAACAAAACCACA